rnacentral:rRNA from 1 species
GAUGAACGCUGGCGGCGCGCCUAAUACAUGCAAGUCGAGCGAACAGACGAGGAGCUUGCUCCUCUGACGUUAGCGGCGGACGGGUGAGUAACACGUGGAUAACCUACCUAUAAGACUGGGAUAACUUCGGGAAACCGGAGCUAAUACCGGAUAAUAUAUUGAACCGCAUGGUUCAAUAGUGAAAGACGGUUUUGCUGUCACUUAUAGAUGGAUCCGCGCCGCAUUAGCUAGUUGGUAAGGUAACGGCUUACCAAGGCAACGAUGCGUAGCCGACCUGAGAGGGUGAUCGGCCACACUGGAACUGAGACACGGUCCAGACUCCUACGGGAGGCAGCAGUAGGGAAUCUUCCGCAAUGGGCGAAAGCUUGACGGAGCAACGCCGCGUGAGUGAUGAAGGUCUUCGGAUCGUAAAACUCUGUUAUUAGGGAAGAACAAAUGUGUAAGUAACUAUGCACGUCCUGACGGUACCUAAUCAGAAAGCCACGGCUAACUACGUG